AGAGUUUGAUCCUGGCUCAGGACGAACGCUGGCGGCGCGCCUAACACAUGCAAGUCGAACGAGAGAUGAGGAGCUUGCUCUUCAAAUCGAGUGGCGAACGGGUGAGUAACGCGUGAGGAACCUGCCUCAAAGAGGGGGACAACAGUUGGAAACGACUGCUAAUACCGCAUAAGCCCACGGCUCGGCAUCGAGCAGAGGGAAAAGGAGCAAUCCGCUUUGAGAUGGCCUCGCGUCCGAUUAGCUAGUUGGUGAGGUAACGGCCCACCAAGGCGACGAUCGGUAGCCGGACUGAGAGGUUGAACGGCCACAUUGGGACUGAGACACGGCCCAGACUCCUACGGGAGGCAGCAGUGGGGAAUAUUGCACAAUGGGGGAAACCCUGAUGCAGCGACGCCGCGUGGAGGAAGAAGGUCUUCGGAUUGUAAACUCCUGUUGUUGAGGAAGAUAAUGACGGUACUCAACAAGGAAGUGACGGCUAACUACGUGCCAGCAGCCGCGGUAAAACGUAGGUCACAAGCGUUGUCCGGAAUUACUGGGUGUAAAGGGAGCGCAGGCGGGAAGACAAGUUGGAAGUGAAAUCCAUGGGCUCAACCCAUGAACUGCUUUCAAAACUGUUUUUCUUGAGUAGUGCAGAGGUAGGCGGAAUUCCCGGUGUAGCGGUGGAAUGCGUAGAUAUCGGGAGGAACACCAGUGGCGAAGGCGGCCUACUGGGCACCAACUGACGCUGAGGCUCGAAAGUGUGGGUAGCAAACAGGAUUAGAUACCCUGGUAGUCCACACCGUAAACGAUGAUUACUAGGUGUUGGAGGAUUGACCCCUUCAGUGCCGCAGUUAACACAAUAAGUAAUCCACCUGGGGAGUACGACCGCAAGGUUGAAACUCAAAGGAAUUGACGGGGGCCCGCACAAGCAGUGGAGUAUGUGGUUUAAUUCGA
rnacentral:rRNA from 1 species